CAGCCGCGGUAACCGGAAGCCCCGAGCGUUGUUCGGAUUCAUUGGGCGUAAAGGGUGCGUAGGCGGCGCGGAAAGUCCGGCGUGAAAGGCAGGGGCUCAACCUCUGGACUGCGUUGGAUACUUCCGUGCUUGAGGACUGGAGGGGAGACUGGAAUUCACGGUGUAGCAGUGAAAUGUGUAGAUAUCGUGAGGAAGACCGGUGGCGAAGGCGAGUCUCUGGACAGAUCCUGACGCUGAGGCGCGAAGGCAUGGGGGAGCGAACAGGAUUAGAUACCCUGGUAGUCCUCGCAGUAAACGUUGAUCACUAGGUGUAGCGGGUACUGACCCCUGCUGUGCCGGAGUUAACGCAUUAAGUGAUCCGCCUGAGGAGUACGAUCGCAAGAUUAAAACUCAAAGGAAUUGACGGGGACCCGCACAAGCGGUGGAGCAUGUGGUUUAAUUCGACGCAACGCGAAGAACCUUACCUGGACUUGACAUCUCGGGAAUUCCGAUGAAAGUCGGGAGUGCCUCUAGCGAGGAAUCCCAUGACAGGCACGGCAUGGCUCUCGUCAGCUCGUGUCAUGAGAUGUUGGGUUAAGUACCGCAACGAGCGCAACCCCUCUCUUCAGUUACCAUCAGGUGAUGCUGGUGACUUCGGAGAUACUGCUCCGGCUAACGGGGAGGAAGGGGGGG
rnacentral:rRNA from 1 species